GUGAAGCUGGUGAAGGAGGACAGGCCCAGCCCAAGGCAGGCUUGUUUACAAGGACAGACUGCAUUUCCCUCUCCUGUGUACCACUUCUGAGCAUGCCUUAUGCAAUUGAUAACAAGGAUAGAUAAUAAUUCACUUCUCUUAUCUGAUAUUCAAAACACCCUGGAAAGUAGGAUCACUAUUCUGAUGCCCACUUUAUAGGGGAGGAAACUGAGGCUCACAAAUAUCCAGUGACCUGCUCCAAGUCCCAUAGCUAGGAAGAGGCAGGGCUGAGAUUCGAACCCCAGUCUCCUGCCUGGGUUCCAUACUCUCCUCACUCCCUAUGACUCCUCUCACUUUUGUCUUUGACAUUCUGUGGUCUGAAUUUCACAAAGACACCAUUGAGAUAAGCGGAAAUUACCUCCUGUAUUCACUCAAUGAUUAACUUGGAAACAAAGAGCCUGGUACAAGAACAGCAGGCCUCAGGCCCGGGAGUCCAAUACAACCUAAAGGUUUUUCUGUUGUCCGAAAGCUAAGUCGCCCUUGUCCCUGCUUAUACUUUGCCUAACUAGGUGGGUGACAUUCCUUUGGCUCCCAGGAUUAUCUAACUUUCAUCAUCUCUUCUGGGGGUUUCAGUCCUAACUGAUCCAAUCACUUAUCUUGGUCACAGCAUGAGGUCUCAGAGCUGAUCGAGCUUCCUUGGCACAGAGUCCGAUAUGCUGAGACCCCGGGCAGCCGAUGGGAAACUUUUUGGCGGGUGGCCCUACUACCUCCAAGGCCAAACAUUUGAAGCUGGUUAAUCUCGGUCACUUAGAUAGAUGUCAGCUACUUCCUGCCUUGAUUGCUAAAUGGACUAGGGACAUUUUGGCAACUCCUGAACUUGUCAUAGCGAGGAAUGAUCGUUUCAUUCAUCUCCCAUGGAAGGAGGGUGUCUGGGGGUUUAUUGAUGGCUUCAGAUGAAUAUUGGCUUUGUGGCCUUGGGGCUGGUGAGGCAGGAAGCAGGAAGCUGCGUUUCUUCAGUGGCAGGGUGAAUUCAGUUAACGGUUUAGCGGGGUGUUAGGAGCGAACUAGAAGGGUAACACCCAAAGGAUCAGUGGCCAGGAGAUGGAGAGUGAGGGACUGGUCCCUCAAAAUAUUCUUCAGUAACUCAAUGAAGCCUACUGCUUCAGUAUGUCAAAGAUGCAUAGAAUGGUAUUUCUGGAAUCAAGUAAUUUCCAAUAGAUUGUAAACUUCUCCAGGGCAGGGAUGACUUCAUUUGAUGAUUCUCUUUCACUGGCACCUGACGCAGGGCUUGGCGCAUUUGUUUGGUGUGUGGGCACCCCUUCCGCUCACACUGAUGCCAGUCCUGCUAUUGCUUAAGAUGCAGUUUUGGAGAACUGCUGGGGCUGAAAUGUUUCUCCUCCUGGGACCGACCUGUUGACGAGAUCCUCUGAAUUCAGACAAGACAUGACUGGGCUCAGAGUCGAAGCCUUUCUAGCUUGGCGAGCAUAGGAUUAUAGAUUUAGAACUAGAAGGGAUCUCCGAGGUCAUUUAUUCUAACCCCCUUAUUUUAUAGAUGAAAAAAUUUGAGUCCCAGAAAGGGAAAGACUUGAAUUUGGAUACCUUGUAAAUAUAGAAUGUCCCAAAAGUCUGUGUGCCAUUAUAAGUUCUAAUAUUGGGGGCACUCGUACUCAUACGCAUGCAUACGUGUGUGUAUGUAUGUAUAUUGUUGCUCGUGCUUUAUUUUCAAAGAGGACCGGUGACAUCAAGAGAGGUGAUGUCUUGACUUUCCAGUGAACUGGAUUAGCACCAAGUUGUCGUCCUCACACUCUCUUCCCGACUUACUGAAGUCCAGUAGCAAGUCAAAAGUGCAGACAACUGGAGAUGGCCCGGGAUGCCGUGAGUGAACUUGGCAUCUUUGGCGUCUCUGAUGUCUGACCAAGCUCUAAGCAGUCCACGGUGCCUGCUUCAGGCACGUGGCCAAUGAAUACGUUCCAGCUUCUUAAAGUCACAGGUGAGGAGUGGGAGAAGGCAGACAUGAGAGGUGGAUGAGUGGCCCUGAAAAGAGCCUGGCAGCCCUCACACCAGGGAGCUAAUACGCUUAAAUGCCAUCUAUUCACAUACAUAGAAAUAUACUCUGAUGUCUAUGUAUUUAUGUAUUCGCUUUAUAUUUACUUCCAUAUAUACUUAUGGAUUUCAUUGUUGCCUCCACUAUUAAAAUACAAACUCCUUACAAGUAGGGAUUUUUUUUUGGGGGGGGGGGAGGGGGACCUGUGUCUUCUUUGCCUAGUGUAAUGUCAGGCACAUUGUAAGUGCUUAAGAAAUGCUUGUUUAAUCCAAUUCAUGAGAAAUCAGGGGAGGGACUUGUGCUUCAGCAUAGGAAAUAAAACGCCACCUUUGGAGUUUCAAAGGUGUGUCUACACCUAGGCAAGAAUGUAAAAUCGAUCUUUUCUGCAUACAAAAAAGAAAAAAAAUGCCAGUUCAUUAACUGAAAGAUUUUCCCGAGGCCACCAUGGCAUUAAGUAGAAGGCUUUAAUUCCCUCAAUAACUACCUACCCAUGGGAAUCAGUAGUCAUUUUGUUUCAUGCUUACGGAGAUUUGUUGGAAAGUCCCUGAAAGACAGGAGGCCAGAGCAUCUACCAUCUUGCCUUGAUGGCAAGAAAAUUUGGGUUCAAAGCCCUGCCUCUGUUUUAGGGGAAAGAUGAGUUUUUUAGAUAUUGGGUUUGCGAUGUCUCUGAGAUUUCCAGUGUAAUAUGUCAGAUGGGUCAUUGGUGAUGGGAGAAUAUUAUGCUACCUUCUCUGGGAUCAACAUCUUCCACGUCUUCCGUUCUUUUGACCGAUAUAGCCAAUAAGAAUUUUUUCAGCACCCAGCACAGUGCGAGGCUGUGGAGAUACAAAGAAUCUCUGUUCAGAAGGAGCUGUCAUUCUAAUGUAGGAGAUAACAUGUAGCUAAGUAAAUACAUCCAGCAUAAAUAUGAAAUGAAUAAAUAUAAAUAUGUACAAAGUAGCUAAUGAAUAUGAGGUAGUUUUGGAGGGAGGGCUCUAGCAACUGAAGAGGUAUCAAAUCAACAAGGCUUCAUGCCAGAGGUGGUGCCUUAGUUUAAAGGAAGAGAUGGACUCUGAGGCAGUGUUAAGGAAGGAGCAUGGGAAACAACCACUGGCAAAGGCAUGGAGAUGGGAAAUGGAGUGUUCCAUGUGAGGAACACAAAGAGGGUUAGUUUGAUUGGAUCAUAAAAUUCAGAAUGGGGAGUAAUAUACCAAGAAACUGGAAAGAUCGGUUGAUGGCUGGAGCGUUAAGGGUUUUUAAACUAAACAAAUGGGGCAGCUAGAUGGUGUACCAGCCCCGGAGUCAAGAUUUCAGACAUUAGCUGUGUGACUCAAGGCAAAUCACUUAACCUGAUUGCCUCCAAAGAAGAAAUACCAAAAACAAAGGAUAUUAUAUUUAUUAAUGGAAGCAACAGGCAUCCACUGAAGUUGGUUCACUAGAGGAAUCAGACGGCCAGAGCUGCCUUUAGGGGAAAAUCAUCCUGCCAGAUACAAACAGGAACGGACUGGACUAGGAAGACAAAUCUCAGGCAGGGAGGCCAACUAAGAGGCUGUAGCAAGAAUCUAAAGGAGAGGUGAUAAUGGCCUCAAUUAAGGUGGUAACUGGGUGAAUAAAAGGCUGGAAGGUGAGAGGUCUAGAGAUAGCAAUAGCAAGAAUGGAUAUCCAAUGUGAGGCAAAGUGAGGAGCUGAGAACACCGAGGUUAAAUCUGGGAGACUGAAAGGAUGAUGGCACCUUCCGCAGAGAAGCAGAGAAGUCUGGGAGAGGAGUCUCUAUACCUGAUCUAGUUAUCUGUUAUAUAUAGUCUAUUGGUUUAUUCUAGAUGAUCCAGUUCUAUUUACAAAGUGGAUGGAUGAAAAUUUCAUAUUAAAUGUCACUGGUUUUGUCAAGGUUUAUAAUUUUGGAGGUACAUGAGAGAAAGAUAUGUUAAACUUAAAGAGGCGAACUUCCAAAAGUCAUCUCCAUAGUUCUGCUACCAAAUAAUCUAUAUAAUUCUAGUUCAUUUGACCCCUGUAGACAUCACAUCUGUGACUGGAGAUCCAUUGGAAAGUCACUGAAAGGCAGUAGGCCAUCGCGUCUACCAUCUUGCCUCGAUGUCAAGAUUUCAGUUCAAAGUCCUGCCUCUGUUCAAGGUGAAAGAUGGGCUGGAGUUGGACUGUAAUGUAUGGUCUGUCAACCUGGGCAUCUUCAAAGUAUGAUUCAGGGAGAAUGGCUUCUUCACUGAAAGGGACUGAACAAACCUGACUUCCACAUUAUUGCUACCUAAGAUAAGUAAAGAGACGGAGACCUGAGCCGGCAGAGAGUCUGGGUAAGACAAGAGAGCCAUGUCUAUCCCAGGAUGGUAGGUCAAGAGCUGGAAGAGAUCUCAAGCCAUCUGGGUCAGCCCUAUUUUACAGAGGAGGAAACUGAGGCUCAAGG